GUGUGUUUGUUUUAAGAAAGCUGUGAUAUCAGCAACAGCAAAUAAGCUGUUACAACUAAUAAGCUGCGAAAUCAGCAACAGCAAAUAUGCUGUUACAACUAAUAAGCUGCGAAAUCAGCAACAGCAAAUAAGCUGUUACAACUAGUAAGCUGCCAAAUCAGCAACAGCAAAUAUGCUGUUACAACUAAUAAGGUAAAUAAGAUAGAAUACUGUUUACUGUUAUGCAUUAUUUGUUGCCCGAGUUGAAAUUUGUGAUAUUUUACCAAAUUGUCAGGUAUAUUAUAUUGUUCCCCUACUGUAGAUACAUACAUUAUAUGUUUUUAUAUACUUGUUUCAUUUUUUUGUUUGUCAAUAUUUUUAUUGUUACAGUUAUAUUUAAAGGUAAAGAGUUCAGUUGUCAGCUGUGGAACUACUAAAAUUGGCUUCAAAGAAUGUGUUACAUCACUUGGCAGCAAUGGCGGACAGAGCAAAGAUGGCAAUAGCUACAAAUACUGAAGUUUAGGAAGAACUGUUUUGGACCUGAAGCACAUGAGGUUCAGGAAGAACAUGUUACAUCACUUAUCAGCAAUCAUGGACAGAAUAAAGUUGACAGAUGCCACAAGCACUGAAGUUUAGAGAAAUGCUGACCAGGAGGGAUGAUGAUUCACCUGAUUCCUUUGACAAAACAGGAGAAAAUAGACAAAAAGAUGACAUGCUGUCAUUUAUGGUUUCAUUGGCCGUGACAGUGACCCACUUUUGGCUUCAAAAUUAUUUGGACUUUUUGGCUUAUACUCUAAGGAAAUUGCGUACAGGUAAAUUUUCUUGCUGGGUGUCUAUGCUCUACAUAACUAAAGGCUAUACUGUACCUGAAAGGUGGAUGGACCCUUCUUAAACUUAAAUACUAGUAUUUUCUAAAUUCAAAAUAUUUCAGGGAAAUGUGAACAAGAGGGAUUAACUGUGCAGGAGAGAAUGGAAUGGACAAACAGAUGACAUGCUGGUCAUAUUGAGGUUGACAGAUGAAAAGCAAAGCAAGAACCAUGAGAUGGUAGGUAUAUAUAUUUGCUAGUUUAUGGAGUACUAUCAAACUUCUUGAUAUUUCAGGGAAAUGUAUAUACAGGAGAGAAUGGAAUGGACAAACGGAGACAUGCUGGUCAGAUUGAGACUGACAGAUGAAAAGUGUAAACAAGAACAAAGAGAUGGUGAGUAUAUAAAGUUGUGAAUUAAGGGAGUGUUUUCUAAUUUUUAAAUGUUUCAGGGAAAUGUGGACGAGAAGGAUUAAUGAUGACGGAGAGAAUGGAAUGGACAAACAGAUGACAUGGAGGUCGGAAUGAGACUGACAGAUGAAAAGCAUAAACAAGAACAAUGAGAUGGUGGGUAGGUAAUAUUGCUAAUUAAGGAAGUAUUUUCUAACUGUUAGAUAUUUCAGGGAAAUGUGGAUGAAGGUGAUUAAAGAAGCAGGAGAGAAUGGAAUGGACAAACAGAUGACAUGGAGGUCAGAAUGAGGCUGACAGAUGAAAAGCGUAAACAAGAACAAAGAGAUGGUUGGUAUAUAAAGUUGCAAAUUAAGGAAGUAUUUUCUAAGAUCUAAAUAUUUCAGGGUUAUGUGGACAAGAGAGAUGAACAAUGCAGGAGAGUAUAUGGAAUGGACAAACAGAUGACAUGCUGGCCAGAAUGAGUUUAAUAGAUGAAAAGCUCGAACAAGAACCAUCAGAUGGUUGGUAUAUAUAGUUGCAAAUUAAAAGAUUGUUUUUUUGUUUUUUUUAAUUCUGAUUAUUUCAGGGAAAUGUGGACAAAGUGGGAUUACCAAUGCAGGACAGAAUGGAAUGGACAAGCAGAUGACAUGCUGGUCAGAAUAAGGCAAGAUGGAUAGUGUAAACAAGAACCAUGAGAUGGUACGUAUUAGUAGGUAUAUAUAAAGUUGCAAAUUUAAGGAGUAUUUUCAUAAUUUUGAUUAUUUCAGGGAGAUGUGGACAAAGUGGGGUUACCAGUGCAGGACAGAAUGGAAUGGACAAGCAGAUGACAUGCUGGUCAGAAUAAGGCAAGAUGGAUAGUGUAAACAAGAACCAUGAGAUGGUACGUAUUUGUAGGUAUAUAUAUAGUUGCAAAUUUAAGGAGUAUUUUCAUAAUUUUGAUUAUUUCAGGGAGAUGUGGACAAAGUGGGGCUACCAAUGCAGGACAGAAUGGAAUGGACAAGCAGAUGACAUGCUGGUCAGAAUAAGGUUGGCAAGAACCAUGUAAACAAGAACCAUGAGAGGGUACUGGUAGGUAUAUAUAAUUGCAGUUUAGGGAGUAUUUUCUAAAUCUAUGUAUUUCAGGAAAAUGUGGACGAGGAUGGAUGAUGAUCAUGGUAACUUUGACUACACAGGAGAGAAUGGAAGGGACAAACAGAUGCUGGUCAGAAUGAAGCUUACAGAUGAAAACAGUCAACAAGAACUGUGAGAUGGUGUGUUGAGGUGAAACCUGAUGAUUCCUAGGAAGACUGUCUUCGGCUGAUGUACAAAAAGCCUGGCAACAGCUUCAAGCCUGGAAAUAGCUUCUGAAAGUGGGGACACAUGUAUCAAACAACAGGAACUGCUGCCAUGUAACAACUGGAUGUAGCUGAGAGUAACAGACUGAUGAAGCCGUUGGAAAAUUUCCACUAGAUAUAAAUCAGAAAACUCCACAAACCUAAUGUUAUUUUGGGAAAAUAACAAGAUCAUAAUUAACAAUAGAGGGAAAUGAUCAACUACAGUCAAUUUGUUUCAACAUUUACCAAGUCCAGGAAAUUCCUAAUACUGAAUACAGGAGAUUGAUUGUGGUUCUGAUGCCUUGUAAACCAAAAGAAAAGCAGCACAUGGUCAGUCGGUAUAAUUUUAAUAAUAUCCUAAAUCCAAGCAUCAACACUCCAGCCAGGGCUUAUGAAAAGAAUCGCCUAUAGAUGAAGAAGUUUUGAACAGAAAGACCCUGAUUUAAAUAAACACAAACUAAGACAGACACCAUCACACAAAACAAUUAACCUAUGAUUUGUGAUUUUUGUUUAAAAUCAAGGGACAACUGCCAAUAUUACAAUAUUUGUUAGAAAGUGUUUGUGGUGCUUAUUUUAAUUAAUACAUGUAUCCUCAUUUAUU
rnacentral:lncRNA from 1 species